UGGCUCAGGACGAACGCUGGCGGCGUGCCUAAUACAUGCAAGUCGAGCGGGGUUAUGUUAGAAGCUUGCUUCUAACAUAACCUAGCGGCGGACGGGUGAGUAACACGUAGGCAACCUGCCCAUCAGACUGGGAUAACUACCGGAAACGGUAGCUAAUACCGGAUACAUCCUUUCCCUGCAUGGGGAGGGGAGGAAAGACGGAGCAAUCUGUCACUGAUGGAUGGGCCUGCGGCGCAUUAGCUAGUUGGUGGGGUCAAGGCCUACCAAGGCGACGAUGCGUAGCCGACCUGAGAGGGUGAUCGGCCACACUGGGACUGAGACACGGCCCAGACUCCUACGGGAGGCAGCAGUAGGGAAUCUUCCGCAAUGGGCGAAAGCCUGACGGAGCAACGCCGCGUGAGUGAUGAAGGUUUUCGGAUCGUAAAGCUCUGUUGCCAGGGAAGAACGUCUUGUAGAGUAACUGCUACAAGAGUGACGGGUACCUAGAAGAAAGCCCCGGGCU
rnacentral:rRNA from 1 species